UACAGAGGGUGCGAGCGUUGUCCGGAAUCACUGGGCGUAAAGGGCGCGUAGGCGGGUUUUUAAGUCAGGGGUGAAAUCCUGGAGCUCAACUCCAGAACUGCCUUUGAUACUGAAGAUCUUGAGUUCGGGAGAGGUGAGUGGAACUGCGAGUGUAGAGGUGAAAUUCGUAGAUAUUCGCAAGAACACCAGUGGCGAAGGCGGCUCACUGGCCCGAUACUGACGCUGAGGCACGAAAGCGUGGGGAGCAAACAGG
rnacentral:rRNA from 1 species